GAUCAUGGCUCAGAUUGAACGCUGGCGGCAUGCUUUACACAUGCAAGUCGAACGGUAACAGGUUAAGCUGACGAGUGGCGAACGGGUGAGUAAUGCAUCGGAACGUGCCCAGUCUGGGGGAUAACGCAGCGAAAGCUGUGCUAAUACCGCAUACGAUCUAUGGAUGAAAGCGGGGGAUCGCAAGACCUCGCGCGAUUGGAGCGGCCGAUGUCAGAUUAGCUAGUUGGUGGGGUAAAGGCCCACCAAGGCGACGAUCUGUAGCUGGUCUGAGAGGACGACCAGCCACACUGGGACUGAGACACGGCCCAGACUCCUACGGGAGGCAGCAGUGGGGAAUCUUAGACAAUGGGGGAAACCCUGAUCUAGCCAUGCCGCGUGAUCGAUGAAGGCCUUAGGGUUGUAAAGAUCUUUCAGAUGGGAAGAUAAUGACGGUACCAUCAGAAGAAGCCCCGGCUAACUCCGUG
rnacentral:rRNA from 1 species